rnacentral:rRNA from 1 species
ACAGGGAUGAUCGGGAAGUGUAGGAUCAAACGGUUGACUCUUUCGGGGAGAAAAAAAGACCCUGAAGAGAAAGACGCCCUGUGGAAACGCAGGGAGAGCGUCUCGGAUCAUUGACAACUAAAUAGGAGCAGCAACGUCCAAUUAAAGGGCCCUGAUCACGAAACACAGGAAUAAAAUGAAUCUGGAGAGUUUGAUCCUGGCUCAGAACGAACGCUGGCGGCGUGCCUAACACAUGCAAGUCCAACGUGAAAGGGGAGCAAUCCCCCGGUAGGGUGGCAAACGGGUGAGUAAUACAUGGGUGAUCUACCUUAGGGAUGGGGAUAUCCUUCCGAAAGGAGGGGCAAUACCGAAUAUUGUCCGGAGCCGUGAAGGGUUCCGGGGAAAGGGAGGCCUCUGAUACAAGC